rnacentral:tRNA from 1 species
GCCCGGAUGGCGAAAUUGGUAGACGCAAGGGACUUAAAAUCCCUCGGUAGUGAUACCGUGCCGGUUCGACCCCGGCUCCGGGCACCA